rnacentral:rRNA from 1 species
AACUGAGACACGUUCCAGAUCCUACGGGAGGCAGCAGUGAGGAAUAUUGCACAAUGGAGGAAACUCUGAUGCAGCAACGCCGCGUGGAGGAUGACGCAUUUCGGUGUGUAAACUCCUUUUAUUAGGGAAGAUAAUGACGGUACCUAAUGAAUAAGCACCGGCUAACUCCGUGCCAGCAGCCGCGGUAAUACGGAGGGUGCAAGCGUUACUCGGAAUCACUGGGCGUAAAGGGUGCGUAGGCUGGCUUUUAAGUCAGAUGUGAAAUCCAAUGGCUCAACCAUUGAACUGCAUUUGAAACUGAAAGCCUAGAGUUCAGAAGGGGCAGAUGGAAUUAGUGGUGUAGGGGUAAAAUCCGUAGAUAUCACUAGGAAUAUCAAAAGCGAAGGCG